rnacentral:tRNA from 1 species
GGAGAGAUGGCCGAGUCUGGCUGAAGGCGCUCGCCUGGAAAGCGGGUAGACGGCUAAACCGUCUCGCGGGUUCGAAUCCCGCUCUCUCCG